rnacentral:tRNA from 1 species
GAGGGUAUAGCUCAGUGGUAGAGUCCAUGCUUACCAUGCACGAGGUUGGGUUCAAUCCCCAGUACCUCCA